AAAGUUGUUGCGGGUUAAAAAGCUUGUAGUUGGAUCUCACUUCUAGACGGGUGGUCUGCCUGCCGGUGGUUACUGCCUGUUUUGAAUAGUCAGCCAGUUUCCCUUGAUGAUCUCCAGCCGUUGUCUUGGGUGACUGUCAAGUUUACUUUGAGAAAAUUAGAGUCUUCAAAGCAGGCGUAACACCUGAAUAAUGGUGCAUGGAAUAGUGUAAUAGGACCUCAGUUCUAUCUUGUUGGUUUUCGGAAUACGAGGCAAUUAUUCAGAAAGACAGACGGGGGCAUUCGUAUUGCGAUGCUAGAGUUAGAUAGGAACGAAAAACUGCGAAAAGGGAAUUACCAAUUUCUAUUUCCUAUAAAUAUAAAAAUAAGGAACAUUUG
rnacentral:ncRNA from 1 species